rnacentral:rRNA from 1 species
GACAGAGGGUGCAAACGUUGUUCGGAAUUACUGGGCGUAAAGCGCGCGCAGGUGGUUUCUUAAGUCUGAUGUGAAAGCCCACGGCUCAACCGUGGAGGGUCAUUGGAAACUGGGGAACUUGAGUGCAGGAGAGAAGAGUGGAAUUCCACGUGUAGCGGUGAAAUGCGUAGAGAUGUGGAGGAACACCAGUGGCGAAGGCGACUCUUUGGCCUGUAACUGACACUGAGGCGCGAAAGCGUGGGGAGCAAACAGG